rnacentral:rRNA from 1 species
UCGAGAAUCUUCGGCAAUGGGCGCAAGCCUGACCGAGCGACGCCGCGUGUGGGAUGAAGGCCUUCGGGUUGUAAACCACUGUCAGAGGGGAUGAAAUGCAGGUGGGUUCUCCCAUCUGUUUGACAUAGCCUCAGAGGAAGGACGGGCUAAGUUCGUGCCAGCAGCCGCGGUAAGACGAACCGUCCGAACGUUAUUCGGAAUCACUGGGCUUAAAGGGUGCGUAGGCGGCGCGGAAAGUUGGGUGUGAAAUCCCUCGGCUCAACCGAGGAACUGCGCCCAAAACUACCGUGCUCGAGGGAGAUAGAGGUGAGCGGAACUUAGGGUGGAGCGGUGAAAUGCGUUGAUAUCCUAAGGAACACCGGUGGCGAAAGCGGCUCACUGGAUCUCUUCUGACGCUGAGGCACGAAAGCUAGGGUAGCGAACGGGAUUAGAUACCCCCGUAGUCC